UAUUAUAUUAUACAUAGAGGAAAGGCUGCAAAUAUGGGCUGGUCUUGUAAUAUGGGCUAGGUGGGUUUCACAGCUAUUCGUUGCAGAUCUCUACAUUUUGACUAUUGCAGACGUUAUUUGACGAAGUUAAACUAUCACCGUAGCGAUGGCGCCACUGUGGUAGAUAUUUCCCAGUUUAUAAGAGUUGUUUGUCGGUUGGUGUGAGUGUCAAAACUUUUUCGGGUAAGUUGAUAAAUUCCAGUAUUUAAAAAUAAACACGAAUUUCGAAAAAACGUCUGUGUCACAUUGAAGCUCUAUUAUUAGUUUUUGAUAUAUGCUAAUGAGUUUUCUUCAAAUUGUCUGCUUUUAGACAUAACUUCUUUUAUUGUGCAAAGCAAACGUGUUUACAAUAUGGGCUAUGCAUCUGUUUUCAUUAUGGGCUAGUGGCCCAUAUUUAGAACAAUGUAGCAAUGUAGGCAAAACGAAGUAGGAAAAGGCAAAGAAAAAAAAGGAAAAGAAAUAAAAA
rnacentral:lncRNA from 1 species